rnacentral:rRNA from 1 species
GUCAGCAGCCAUAUCACCCUGCAGCCCAAGACUGGUCGCCCACUGCAGCUAAGCAGGGUUGAGCCUGGUCAGUACCUGGAUGGGAGACCUCCUGGGAAAACUAGGUUGCUGCUGGAA